rnacentral:rRNA from 1 species
UGGGGAAUAUUGCGCAAUGGGGGGAACCCUGACGCAGCCAUGCCGCGUGAAUGAAGAAGGCCUUAGGGUUGUAAAGUUCUUUCGGUAUUGAGGAAGGUUGAUGUGUUAAUAGCACAUCAAAUUGACGUUAAAUACAGAAGAAGCACCGGCUAACUCCGUGCCAGCAGCCGCGGUAAUACGGAGGGUGCGAGCGUUAAUCGGAAUAACUGGGCGUAAAGGGCACGCAGGCGGUUAUUUAAGUGAGGUGUGAAAGCCCCGGGCUUAACCUGGGGAUUGCAUUUCAGACUGGGUAACUAGAGUACUUUAGGGAGGGGUAGAAUUCCACGUGUAGCGGUGAAAUGCGUAGAGAUGUGGAGGAAUACCGAAGGCGAAGGCAGCCCCUUGGGAAUGUACUGACGCUCAUGUGCGAAAGCGUGGGGAGCAAACAGGAUUAGAUACCCUGGUAGUCCACGCUGUAAACGCUGUCGAUUUGGGGGUUGGGGUUUAACUCUGGCGCCCGUAGCUAACGUGAUAAAUCGACCGCCUGGGGAGUACGGCCGCAAGGUUA